AGGUUGGGGAGGUGUAAAGCCACUGGCUAAGGGGAUCGCGGGUGCUCCUCGUCCUUUCCCAGAGGCCAUGCUGGGGACUCUAGACAGACUGCCCGACCGACUGACCUUUCGCUUCCCCACCCUAGCAGCGGGCCGGUCACUUCUGGCGCCGCCGGCAGAUCUCUCCCACCCCACCCGCAGAGGCCGGCUUGCCCGCCCCUCCAGCUAGUCGUAAAGUGCAGUAAAGGCGCUGACGUUUUGCGGCACCGUCGGUGAGGCCGGCGGCGUGGAUUUUCUCUGUGCGCGAAUCAUCGCUUUCGUCUCCCUGGACUUUGAAAUGCUUUACCUGAUCGGCCUGGGCCUGGGCGAUGCCAAGGACAUCACAGUCAAGGGCCUGGAAAUUGUUAGACGCUGCAGUCGGGUGUAUCUGGAAGCCUAUACCUCAAUCCUGACUGUAGGGAAGGAAGUCUUGGAAGAGUUCUACGGAAGAAAAUUGAUUCUUGCUGAUAGAGAAGAAGUGGAACAAGAAGCAGAUAAUAUUUUAAAGGAUGCUGAUAUCUGUGAUGUUGCAUUCCUUGUGGUUGGUGAUCCAUUUGGGGCUACCACACACAGCGAUCUUAUUCUGAGAGCAACAAAACUGGGAAUCUCUUACCGAGUUAUUCACAAUGCUUCCAUAAUGAAUGCUGUAGGCUGCUGUGGUUUACAGUUGUAUAAGUUUGGAGAGACGGUUUCUAUUGUUUUUUGGACAGACACUUGGAGACCAGAAAGCUUCUUUGACAAAGUAAAGAAGAACAGACAAAACGGCAUGCACACGUUAUGCUUACUAGACAUCAAAGUAAAGGAGCAGUCUUUGGAAAAUCUCAUCAAGGGAAGGAAGAUCUAUGAACCUCCUCGGUAUAUGAGUGUAAACCAAGCAGCCCGGCAGCUUCUGGAGAUUGUUCAGAAUCAACGAGUACAAGGAGAAGAGCCAGGGGAAGACUCCAUGAACCUGGUGGAAAGCCAUAGCUGGAAGGCUGAAAAAUCUGAGCAAAGUUUGUUGCUCUGUAUUGCAAGGGAAAACAGUUUUGAGUUUGAAUCCCGUCAAGUUAGAAGGCUUGCUGAUAUCCUACACAGGGAAUGAGGUGAAAGAACAAUUCAGGGUUAAUCCUAAUAUCUGGAAACAAAUACUGUGAGAUGGUGUUCAUCAGGUAAAAUAAUCAGAGCCACAAUGAGGACCUUCACAUGUUAAGACCUUACCAAUCUCCAAGCAUCUCCUCUCUCUGUAAAGGGCCCUGCAGGGCAAGGAGGUGGUGCGAGGUGGCUGCACAGUUUAAAUUCAGUGGCAAAGGUAGGAAAUACGCAUGAGAGCACUGAAUGAAGGAAUGAAUUUAAGCAAUGUAUAUGGAACUAUUGCACCAUAAUCUAUUUUGUCAUGGUAAUUGCUCACUGAUUUUACUGGAGAGUCUGUUUAAGUCAGCUACAACUUCUUGGGUCUUUAAACCACAGCAGAAUGAAGUACUUCAUACAGCAGUCAUCAGAAAAACACUGGAUUUAAAAAGGUCAGUACCUUACCACUGGCUAUCCCUCAGGCAAGUCAUUUAAAGUCUCCCAAAACAGCUUCCUCAUCUGUAAAAUAAAAUGCAGUUAAGAAUUCCUUCCCCAGAGCUGGGGUUGGGGUGGGAUUUGAAAAUGCUCUAUCAAUCAUAAAAGCAUGCAAAAUUCUUUAUUGAAAUAUGAGGAUUCCAAAUAUGAUAACCUGGAAAAGACCACACAAAGAACCUGACACAGAAAUACUAAUAUACGUUGACCCCCAAUCUUUCUGUUUUAAUCUGUAGUUAGGAAAUGGUUAAACAUAAACCAAAAGAUGGUCUCAUCAAAAAGACUCCCAUCUAUUUAGCUUUUAACUAUACUUCUCUGCAAAUGUUUUUUUUUUGAUACGUAAUUUUUCAUUGUAUUUGUGGGUCUAGAUUCUAUGGUAGAGAUCUAGAUGACUAAGGCUUCUGGUGGAUCAUGUCUUGAAACCAUCUUUUCCAUUAAUAAAACUUUUGGUGAGCUUCAAAGAAUAACAUUUAUUUAUUUUUGCCAACCUUCUUGUGAACUGUAAAAUAAUUUGUUUUGAAGAUGGUAACAGAAAGAAAAAAGUUUAACUUUAUCAAGGUAAUGCUUUUAUGUUGAAAGUAAGCAAUUGAAUAUUUGGGGUUCAGGUAAGACUUCAAAAAUUCACCCUAUUGAUUUAAAAAACUUGUUUGGUUCUGUAUUUCAUUUAAUGCUCAAUUUUGUGUGGCUCUGAGAACAAAUAUUAAAAACUCAAAAGCUCCCUAAGUAAUAAAACUACCAAGUGUCAAAACUGAAAUGGUAUAUAUAACCCGUGAGAAUUAGCCUAGUUUCUGAAAAGUACCAGCUCAGAGAAUAUAAACAAAAUAAAGAAACUAAGCAAUCCUUAAACUGGGUUUAGCCUCGAGCAAUUAACAGAAAAUUUCACUCACAAGUUAAAAGUAUCCAAAAGCACAGAUGUCAUUGUAUUUUAAAAAUCAGGAACUGGUUUCAUAAGAGUAAAAAAGUAAAAGAGAGUACAAAAAUUAUAUUUUCCACAAAGAAUAUUCUAAACCUCAUAAUGAAAGUAUGGAAAUAAUAUUCUAAAUCUCAUAAUUACUUAUGAAAAACAAGACAAUAAAACUCCAUUUAUAAAGUGCCUUAAUGUACCAAAAAUGGAGGUCAGCUUCCCUUUAUUUACAAAUGAUUUUUCAUCACAUUUACAGAAAGGCAAAUAUUACACUGGAGAGGCAGCACAACAGAGUAGAAAGAACUUGACUUGGAGUCAGAAGACCUGGGUUCUAGUCUUGGCUUUGCCACUAAUUCUCUCUGUGACCUUGAGUAAAUGACAGCAUUUCUGGGCUUCAAUUUUCUCAUCUCUAAAAUGAGAGGUAGAAUGAGACUGCUUUUAAGGACAGUCCCUUAGAUGUAAAAUUCUGUUACACAAUGAAAUCUUUUUGUUCUUAAAUCCCAGCAUUGUAGGAGCAUGCCACAAUGUUAAUAAUCUAUACAAAAUUGAUUAUCCCAUAGUAGGUAAAAACAUCAUAGAACUCUCAUCAACUACAUUUGGAGUCACUGACUGGGCUACUUUACAAAGGUGCACAAGUCACAGUAUUUUGGUUCCUGGCGUAUACAUGUAGGCUUUGAAGAAUGCCGAAGCAUCUAGAUACAAGCGUUCACGGCGGAGGGCUCUGCACGGCACUGAUGGGUGUGUGGGAGGAGCAGGAGCAGGAGCGACUCUGAUGGGAUAAAACACUGGGGAGACCUGGAAGCUUCCCAGCACAGAACACCCUUCAGCUUUCUUGCUGCAUUAAAAAAUAAUAAUAAAAUAAAUCUUUGCUGCGGUCAAGUUAAAGCUGUUAUUCAAAAUUGUUAUUUGUUAUUCAAAUUUCCGGAAAAUACAUUUAAUAGCAGCCUCUCCUUAAAGAGGCUUCUGGCAGAAAACAGAAGGAUUUGGGGCUAACAUUUAGAACAAACCUCAACUGUCUCAUUGUAAAAGCGUCGAUACAUACCAAGCCUACUCAUCUCACAAAACUGUUACAUGUUCAUCCAGUAUUUGACAAAUGUUUAAUAAAGCCUUGUUCCAUACCAGGCACUACUGGAAGGAACAUAUGUGAACAUAUAAGAAAGGAUUUCAUGUGCUAUUAAAGUCUACGGAAACAAAUUAUUAUGAUUCAUUCUAAGUAAGUGUGUUUGAUUUACUCAACCCAGAUGGCCUCUGAAAUAAUGAAGGAACUCUUCUGCAAAA